UUCCCUACUGGGGGCAGCAGUCGGGAAUAUUGCGCAAUGGAGGAAACUCUGACGCAGUUACUCCUCUUUCCUGAAGAAGGUUUUCGGAUUGUAAACUGCUUUAGACAGGGAAGAAACAAGACAGUACCUGUAGAAUAAGCUCCGGCUAACUACGUGCCAGCAGCCGCGGUAAUACGUAGGGAGCAAGCGUUAUCCGGAUUUAUUGGGUGUAAAGGGUGCGUAGACGGGAAAACAAGUUAGUUGUGAAAUCCCUCGGCUUAACUGAGGAACUGCAACUAAAACUAUUUUUCUUGAGUGUUGGAGAG
rnacentral:rRNA from 1 species